UACAGAGGGGGCAAGCGUUAUUCGGAAUUAUUGGGCGUAAAGGGCGCGUAGGCGGCUUGGCAAGUGGAUGGUGAAAUCCCUCGGCUUAACCGAGGAACUGCCGUCCAAACUGCUUAGCUUGAGACCGGGAGAGGUGAGUGGAAUUCCCAGUGUAGCGGUGAAAUGCGUAGAUAGUUGGGAGGAACACCAGUGGCGAAGGCGGCUCACUGGACCGGAACUGACGCUGAGGCGCGAAAGCGUGGGGAGCAAACGGG
rnacentral:rRNA from 1 species